rnacentral:rRNA from 1 species
AUUGCCCCAGUAACGGCGAGUGAAGCGGCAACAGCUCAAAUUUGAAAUCUGGCCUUCUGGUCCGAGUUGUAAUUUGUAGAGGAUGCUUUUGGUGAGGUACCUUCCGAGUUCCCUGGAACGGGACGCCAUAGAGGGUGAGAGCCCCGUCUGGUUGGAUACCGAGCCUCUGUAAAGCUCCUUCGACGAGUCGAGUAGUUUGGGAAUGCUGCUCAAAAUGGGAGGUAUAUGUCUUCUAAAGCUAAAUAUUGGCCAGAGACCGAUAGCGCACAAGUAGAGUGAUCGAAAGAUGAAAAGCACUUUGAAAAGAGGGUUAAAUAGUACGUGAAAUUGUUGAAAGGGAAGCACUUAUGACCAGACUUGGGCCCGGUGAAUCAUCCAGCGUUCUCGCUGGUGCACUUCGCCGGCCCAGGCCAGCAUCAGUUCGUCCCGGGGGAUAAAGGCUUCGGGAACGUAGCUCCUUCGGGAGUGUUAUAGACCGUUGCGCAAUACCCUGGGGUGGACUGAGGUUCGCGCUUCCGCAAGGAUGCUGGCGUAAUGGUCAUCAGCGACCCGUCUUGAAACACGGACCAAGGAGUCGUCUUCGUAUGCGAGUGUUCGGGUGUCAAACCCCUACGCGUAAUGAAAGUGAACGCAGGUGAGAGCUUCGGCGCAUCAUCGACCGAUCCUGAUGUUCUCGGAUGGAUUUGAGUAAGAGCAUACGGGGCCGGACCCGAAAGAAGGUGAACUAUGCCUGUAUAGGGUGAAGCCAGAGGAAACUCUGGUGGAGGCUCGCAGCGGUUCUGACGUGCAAAUCGAUCGUCAAAUAUGGGCAUGGGGGCGAAAGACUAAU